ACCGACCCCGCUCCCGUCUGCGGGAUAGCGCCUGCUCCCGCACCCGGCCGGGGGUCAGCGCCUGAUCCCGCACCUGGCAGCGGGAUAGCGCCUGAUCCCGCACACGGCCGGGGUUUAUCGCCCCCAGCAGUGGCCGGCUGAGUGAGGCCCGCUCCUGUGUGGGGCGCAGCCGUAGGCGGGGAGGAGCCGCUCUCCCGAAAGGAGCGCCUGGCACCAUGGCAAGGACAGCAUCUUUACAACAAGACAGCGCUGCUUUGCCAGCCAGGGCUCUGGCUUGGCUGCUGUCCGCCUGUGCAGGUUUUGAAUUAGCCAUCAUACCUGAUAUUUUUCCCCAAAUGAAGAUUCAGUGUAUGUAG
rnacentral:lncRNA from 1 species